GUGGGAGACUUUGUGGCAUCAUGGACAAGUUUAUUCUCCUGGGGGUGCUCUUCUGAGAACACCGGGCUGUCUCUGGAGCCACAGUGUCACAGGCUGCCAGAAGAAACUCCUCAGACUAAAAUACUCCCUCCCACUUGAUGUUGAGAAGAAAUCAGCUGGAAGAUGGCAGCUAUAUUUAGUUGCCAUGAGGUAUUUUCCUCUGCCAUGUAUUCCUGCCAUGAUGCACUGCCUUGCCACAGACACAAAGGCACUCAGACCAAGCAACUAUGAACUAAAAUCUCUGAAACCUGUGAGCCAAAAUAAAAUUUUUAUUCUUAUAAAUUGAUUAUCUCAGCUAUG